AGAGUUGUACAAGACAAAGAACUUACAUAACGGAGAUAAACAUUGACAAUAAGAUGUUAGAGGGAGGAGAGGAUUCAAUCACAACCAAUGGUACUCUACAGAGACACUUAAACUCACAGGCUGGUAAAACACUUCAUAAAUGUGAUGUUUGUGCUAAAGAAUUUUCUCGAGAUAGUCACUUAAAGAGACACUUGAGAACACAUACUGGCGAAAAACCUCACAAGUGUGAUGUUUGUUUCAGAAAAUUUAGUCAAAGAAGUUACUUAAAAGGACACAUGAGAACACAUACUGGUGAAAAACCUCACAAAUGUGAAGUUUGUUUUAGAACAUUUACACAAAGUAGUCACUUAAACAGACACUUGAGAACACAUACUGGUGAAAAACCUCACAAAUGUCACACAUGUGAUGUUUGUUUUAGAAAGUUUACUCAAGGUUAUGACUUAAAGAAACAUAUGAGAACGCAUACUGGUGAAACACCAUAUAAAUGUGAUGUCUGUGUUAGUGAAUUUUCUCGAAGUGGUGACUUAAAGAAACAUGUGAGAACUCAUACUGGUGAAACACCUCAUAAAUGUGAUGUUUGUGGUAGAGAAUUUGCUUGUAGUAGCAACUUAACGGCACACAUGACUACACAUACUGGAGAUAAACCCUAUGACUGUGGAGAAUGUGGUAAAGGGUUUAGUCACCUUGGUAAUUUACAGAUGCACAUGAGAACACAUACAGCUGAUAAACCUUAUGUCUGUGAUGUAUGUGGUAAUGGAUUUAGACUGCUUGGUAUUUUACAGGCUCACAUGAGAACACAUGCAGUGGAUAAACCUUAUGACUGUGGAGAAUGCGGUAAAGGGUUUAGUUGCCUUCGUUAUUUACAAAUUCACAUGAGAACACAUACAGGUGAGAAACCUUAUGACUGUGAUGUAUGUGGUAAAAAGUUUAGUCAACCUAGUAAUUUAAAGACUCAUAGGAGAACACACACAAGAGUUAAACCUCAUGACUGUAAUGUAUGUGGUAAAAGGUUUAGUGAGCAAGGUGACUUACAGACUCACAUGAGAAUACAUACAGGUGAUAUAAAAACCUGAUGACUGUUGUAAAUGUGGUAAAGGGUUUAGUCAAAUUUCUAGUAUAAAAAGAGACAUGAAAAGACAUUCACGUGUUUAACCUUAUGACUGUAUUGUAAGUGGUAAAGUGUUUCAUCAUCUUUGUGAUUGAAAAAGACAUGUAAGAAUACAUACAGUGAUAAACCUGAUGCCUGUGAUGUAUGUGGUCAAAAGUUUAGUUAGCAUGGUGGUUUACAGAUUCACAUGAGAACACAUACAGGUGACAAACCCCACAACUGUGAUGUAUGUGGUAAAGCCUUUAUUGAAAGUAGUAACUUUUAAAGAAACUCAUUAAAAUACAUAUGAGGGAUAAAACUCCUAAAUCGAAUUUUUGUUCUAAAGAUUAAUGUUGAACAAAUCCCUUAAAGAUUCUGUAUACAUGUAAGAAUGUUCACGAAGAAGUGGCUUCAGCCUUACACAUGUAACAGAGGACACAUACUUAUGACGAACAGAUAAUGAGCAUAUGAUGUGAGAUGCUUUAGAAGAAGCGUCUUUAAGAGACCCAUAAGAACACGAAUUGGAAAUAACUGCACAAUCUUCUAAAGAGACACACGAGAACAGAAACUGAAAAUACCUAUGUUGAUUUCUGUGUCAUUUGGUCUCUUUUGGAGAGUUGUCUUAUUGGCAAAAAUAUUCUUUUUGUUUUAUAUAAAUCCUUAUAAAAAGACACAUGAGAUUACAUAGGCUAGUUGAAAUAACUAUAAAACCUUAAAACGAGACACAUGAGAACACCUUUAUAUUUAAAUUACAAUGAAACCCUAUAAAGAGACACAUGAGAACACAUUUUUUAAAUUACAACGAAACCCUUUAAAGAGACACAUGAGAACACCGUAUUUAUUUAAAUUACCUUAAAUUUUAAAUUAAAUGAAAUGACACCUUAUUUAAAUUACAAUGAAACCCUUUAAAGAGACACACGAGGACACCUACUGAUAAUAACUAUAAAUCCCUGUGAAGAGAC
rnacentral:lncRNA from 1 species